rnacentral:rRNA from 1 species
GAAUAUUGGACAAUGGGGGGAACCCUGAUCCAGCCAUGCCGCGUUUGUGAAGAAGGCCUUUUGGUUGUAAAGCACUUUAAGCGAGGAGGAGGCUACUCUAGUUAAUACCUAGGGAUAGUGGACGUUACUCGCAGAAUAAGCCCCGGCUAACUCGGUGCCAGCACCCGCGGUAAUACAGAGGGUGCAAGCGUUAAUCGGAUUGACUGGGCGUAAAGCGCGCGUAGGUGGCCAAUUAAGUCAAAUGUGAAAUCCCCGAGCUUAACUUGGGAAUUGCAUUCGAUACUGGUUGGCUAGAGUAUGGGAGAGGAUGGUAGAAUUACAGGUGUAGCGGUGAAAUGCGUAGAGAUCUGGAGGAAUACCGAUGGCGAAGGCAGCCAUCUGGCCUAAUACUGACACUGAGGUGCGAAAGCAUGGGGAGCACACAG